rnacentral:lncRNA from 1 species
GUGCUGCUGGCAUCUGAGGGAGAGACAGCCGAGACAGUGAAGUAAGAAAUGUUGGCCAUUGCUCGAACAUGGAGUAUCUUUAAGGUCAGGCAGCUCAGAUGUGAUGAAGCCUUAGAUAGAAGCUGUGGAGGGCUGGAUGGGGUGGGAGAGCAAGGAGUGACGAUAGGUCCAAAAGACUGCCUUUUCCUGAUGGAACCACUGGAGACCCCGAGGAGCCUGGAACUGUGCCUGGCAGAGGAGGCUGGACUCACCUGGAGACCGCGUUCUCAGAGGUGUGGGGUUUGGAAGCACUGCAGAGGGCUAGCCGGGGCCUCACAUACGCCAAGGGCCUGUUGGAGACAGCACGUGGGCCUCAGCUUUCUACGUCUAAUUCUCAAGGCUAUGGAGACAACUCUCACUUCACCUUCAGAACCCCUUGUGCCAUUCCCUAAGUCAAUGGCCUUGGGGACUUAGUGGGACCCCCACCUCAUACUAUAGCCCCACCAUAGAACAAACUGGUCACUAAACACACCACAUGCAAUAAGGAGCAUCAUACCCCAGCCCCCAGCUGCCCAUCCCAUCAUGGACUUGCCCCUCCCACCUAAUCAGUAUGUGUUCUUUUCUGCUCCAAGUCCAAAGCCUGUUCUAUGGGUACACUUAGUUCUGGGCUUCUGAGCCCUAGGCUUCCUGGAUCCAAGAAAUGGGGCUCUUGAGGAUCAUAGACCAAGGAGGGUGGGACUGUGGGAGCAGAGGGGACUCCUGGGACCAGCUGAAGAGUGGGCAUACCUGGCAGGUGAUGUGGGCAUCCUGGCUCCUAGGCACCAGGGCCAGCAGCUGGGGCAUGUGCUGUUCCACAAACUGUUCACACUGAGGAAAGACACAAUAUGUAGACCCCCCUCUAGGAGAGAACUUAACCUGCAGAUCUGGCGUUCUACCUCACUCUGCCACUCCGGACUGUGGGUUUGUGUUUUUCCAUCAGUGCCUGGCUGACCAUUAAAGACUCAACCGAAGGGCUGAAUGGCUGAUGGCUCGGGGGUUAGGCACUUGCUGCUCUUUGGAGGACAGGAAGGACGGCUUAUAACCACUCAACUCCAGUUCCAGGGAAUCUGAUGGCCUCUUCUGACCCCCUCCCCCCG